AGACGGAGGGAGUACACGGUCUAUACUCCUGGUUGAAAAACUCCUUUAAUUCCGAUUUCCCAACCGGAAGCACCAAUUCGACACUAAAGGAGGACACCUUUAGUCGUGAUUGGGUGCUCGGGACUUUAGUCCCGGUUCGUAAUACCAACCAAGACUAAAAGGGCCCUCCAUGUUUGUUCACGUGGCAGGACAUUUAGUGUCGGUUGGUAUUAGAAACCGAGAGUAAAGAGUUUGUACUUUUUUUCUGUUAUUUUCUUUUUUUUAAUUGAUGAUUAGUUUUAAUAUUAUAAUAGGAUUCAAAUACACUACUAAUACUAAUAGAUAUUUUGCACCAGUAAUUAAGUUAAUGUUAGACACAACAUAUAUAUAAUUAAAUAACACAACAUAUAUAAAUCACAAAACGAUUAUACGUACAUAUGUUCACACGUUAUUUUAUGUAUAUAUAUAGUGCAUUUUCUCUACUCCCAGGAGUAAUUACUUUCAUCUUCAAUAAACCACAUUACGUAUGUAUUCAUACUUGUUUAUCGGUUUGAGUAUGUUCAUACUCUAGAUCUUACCAUGCGAAAAUUUUUCAAAGGAAUUCAUAUUUUUUAAUAUAUUACUAAAAUGCCACUACUGUAGUAUAUAUAAUAAGUAUAACCACAUACUCUAUGUAUACAUGCAUACUUAAACCACAUUAUGUAUGUAUUAAUACUCCCGGAUGCAUUUUCCGUACUCUCGGGAGUAAUUACUCCCAUCUUCACUAAACCACAUUAUGUAUGUAUUAAUACUUGUUUAUCGGUUUGAGUAUGUUCAUAUACUUAUAUUAAGAUACUCUAGAUCUUAACAUGCAAAAAAGUUUCAAAGGAAUUCAUAUUUUUUAAUAUAUUACUAAAAUGCCACUACUGUAGUAUAUAUAAUAAGUAUAACCACAUACUCUAUGUAUGCAUGCAUACUUAACAUAUAUACUACCUUAGAUAGUUUAGUAUGAUCAUAUACUUCGUCUACAUACACUUCAUCGGACCAUAUACGCCAUAAAUCUAGAGAUAUACAUAUGAGAGUAACUACUACUGGAAGUAAAAAGGAAUU
rnacentral:lncRNA from 1 species